rnacentral:lncRNA from 1 species
UGAAGGGCGCCCGACCCCGGGAGUCGGACUCUACCGAUUAUCCACUGCGAAUACUUUCCAUUACGGUCCGACGCAGGAGCAUGCCUUAGGCGGCUCACUCAAUAAUUAAUGCGCCUGGUCCCAAGACAUCUCAGGCGGCUUACACCACAAUUAAUGUGUAUCGCUCUCGCAAAUCUCCAGUCUGCUCUACAAUAAAUGCAUGGUUCCCGACUGACUGUGAAUCUCCAGAUCGCUCUUGCAAAUCUCCGGCCUGCUCAACAAUAAAUGC